UGAUAUGGCCGACGUUGAAUGUACCGGUUCUCGUCCGAUCACCGAAGUUUAGCAAUGUCGAGCUUAGUGAGUACUUAAAUAAAUGACUGCUUGGGAAACCUAGGUACUGUAAGGU
rnacentral:rRNA from 1 species